rnacentral:lncRNA from 1 species
CAGCAUAUGGAGGUUCCCAGGCUAGGGGUGGAAUUGGAGCUGCAGCUGCCGGCCUACACCACAGCCACGGCAAUACCAGAUCCUUAACCCACUGAGCAGGGCCAGGGAUUAACCCCGCAUCCUCAUGGAUACCAGUUGGGUUCUUAACCUGCUGAGCCACAGCGGGAACUCCUAAGCUUGGAAUCUUAAUUACCAUUUGAGAAACUUGCUCAAAGUUGUGUGGCUGAGCAUGGAGUGAAGCCCCUCCAAGAACCGCAGUGCUGCCCGCAUGGACCGAGGGCCACCACGGGCUCUGCAGGUCAGUCCCCUGCCUCGGUGGCCUCAGUGACCUCAGAGCAGGUGCCCAGUCACUCUUUAGUCCCCAGGCUGAGUGUGGACGGUACACAGCGCCCCGUGUCAGGCUGGACGCAAACCCCUCCCUCUUUCCCGGGGCUCCAAGUCUGUGCUCAGAACUUGGAUAAAACCCAGGAGCCGACACUUUUGCUCACAUUAAGUUAAAAACAAGGCCCAGCAUCUUGGGCACGUGGAACAUAACCAUCAAAGAUUUGCUACAUGAAUGGCCUGCAGCUGUUGACAGGGCCCCCCGGGCUCUGGCCUGGGCGGCACAGCCCAAUGUUUGCCGGUGCCAGUCUCACGACCGAGGCACCCUGUUUCAUGUCCCCACGCCCAGGGGGCCACCCUAGGUACAGGCCACGCUCAGCACAGAACAAAGGCCUGCCUGGGAGAAGUCAGAGCAGGCCCCGCCCGGCUGCCCCGCAGGACAGGAAGGGGCACGUGGAUGAGAGACAGAGUCCCCACGGCCCUUCUGCUGGGAGAGACUUUUCUGACCUCAGCGGAUGGGUGCCUGGCCCUGGUGGGGACUCGAUCAACACCCCCCCACCCACCAACACUUAGCGAGCAGCCGCUCUUCUCAAGCCCAGGCAUCGUCCACCCCACACGAAGAGCAGCCCUGCUCUCCUGGAGCGUUCAGUCUGCUGGGCGGCUGACCCCCGCCCAGGCAAUGCCCCAGGAGGACGAGGCGGGGGCAGAGGAAGAUCAGGGAGAACCUCCCCGUGCAAAGGCCCUGAGGUGCACACAGAGGAGAACCGUGGGGCUGAAGCCAAGACAGCAAGGGCGGCAGGGGCACCUGGAGCCUGGCAGUGUGGGCCUGCUCACACGGCUGUAAGAAUCUUAGCUUUGACGCUGAAACAGACACCUCCUUGAGGGUGUCAGUGGGGAAUGACUGGGGCGAGGCGCAGGUAGGAAGCUAUUCAUUCAUCUAGAGCAGGGGUUUGCAACCAUUUCUGUAAAGGGCUGGAGAGCAAGUAUUCCUGGCUUUGCAUGUCACAGGGUCUCAGCAGCAGCUCCUCAACUUGGCCUGCACUGGGAAAGCAGCUUUGUAGGGGGUCCGUGAAUCAGUGGGCGUGCCUGUGUUUCAGUCCAACGAACUCCACUCAGGACACUGACAUGUGAGUUUCAUAGAACAUUCUUUUUCAUGUGGUGACAUUUUUUUUUAAUAUUCUUCCCCCAGCCAUUGAAAAAUGAGAAAAUAUUCCUAGCUCAGGAGCUGAACAUAAACAGGUGGCAGGCAGGACUUGGACUCUGGCCAUAGUUUGCUGCCCCCUGAGCUUUACAACAAACAUCCACCCCUCCUCUGUGCCAGGCAGCACUCCAGGAGGCUGGCUCCAGCAGUUAGAACAAAAGAACAAAACCCUGCCGCUAGAGAUCUGAUAAUAAAGUCAAUUACAGAGUCGAGAAGGUCCUAAGUCCUCACCUGCUUGGCUCAGUCACAGAAGUCAGGCACUGAGGCUUGGGUGCAACCAGUGGUGGAGGGGGUGCAGCCACAGGGGAGGGGGUCAUGGAGGCCAUGGGCGGGGGGGAGCCCCAGGGGGCACUCAUCUCACCGAACAAGGCCAAUCAUUGUUUCUUUUGUUGUUGGUGUUUGGCCUUACUGGCUGGCACAUGGAAGUUGCCCAGUCAGGGAUCAAAACUGAGCUGCAGCUACAACAAUGCCAGAUCCUUAACCCACUGCACAGGGUCUGGGAUAGAACCCAGGUCGCUGCAGAGUCAAAGCUGGAUCCUUAACUCGCUGCACCACAGCAGGAACUCCUAGUAAUUGUUGAAUGAAAGACUUUUGUAGUCAUCACGUUAAGACUAGUGAACAUAUCUGGAGUUCCCGCCGUGGGGCAGUGGGUAACGAAUCCGACUAGGAACCAUGAGGUUGCGGGUUCCAUCCCUGGCCUUGCUCAGUGGAUUAAGGAUCCGGCGUUGCCAUAAGCUGUGGUGUAGGUCGCAGACGCGGCUCGGAUCCCGCGUUGCUGUGGCUCUGGCGUAGGCCGAUUAGACCCCUAGCCUGGGAACCUCCAUAUGCCGCGGGGGAGCGGCUCAAGAAAAAGGCAAAAAGACAAAAAAAAAAAAAAAAAGACUAGUGAACAUAUCUGUCUCACUUUCAUACAAAAUCAGCUGUAGUCUAAAACAGGAUGGGCUUCUGGGCCAAAUUCAGUCUGCAGAGAAAUUUGUAUUAGGCAAUUGCACAUUAAAUGUCCGGAGGUCUUUCUUACAUGCACCGGAAGACAACCAGAGUUCCACCUGGUCGGCACCUGCUGCCGCUGGGCCUCGGAAGCCAGAGCCCGCCAGUCCGGGCUGCAAUGGAAGGGUCUCUCUUGCCCCCCAGUCCCUAUAGGGGUUAAGUUUUAAUCCCUGUUUUACAGGGACCGAGGUCGCGCAAGGCAGCACCUUAUCGCCUUAGACUUAAGGGCUUAAGCGCACCCAGCACGUGGUGCAGAGCCCUUCGGAACCCCUCUGCGAGAAGGACACUAGGUGCCGAUUCGGGGUAAGCCGGCCUCAGGGCUCCUAGGCUGGUGGGCUCCCCUCCUCGCGGGCCCCGCGGCCGGCCGGGCUACCUGCAAGCAUCUGGGCGCACCUGCUGCCAGAACCCAGCCCCCGCCGCGCCGCAGUCCCCGCUGCCCCAGCAUGUCUGCAGCCUCUCCACCGCCUACCGCUGAGCCGCCGGGAACACGCUGGGACGCGCUCUCCAGCGACUCCGAACCCUGCCGCAGCCCCGGGACGCAGCCCCGGAGGCAGGACCUGCG